UAACAAGGAUUCCCCUAGUAACUGCGAGUGAAGAGGGAAAAGCUCAAAUUUAAAAUCUGGCGGGCUCUGCUCGUCCGAGUUGUAAUCUGGAGAAGCGUUUUCCGCGUCGGACCGUGCAUAAGUCUCCUGGAACGGAGCGUCAUAGAGGGUGAGAAUCCCGUCCAUGGCACGGACCGCCGAUGCUUUGUGAUACGUUUUCAAAGAGUCGAGUUGUUUGGGAAUGCAGCUCAAAACGGGUGGUAAAUUCCAUCUAAAGCUAAAUAUUGGCGAGAGACCGAUAGCGAACAAGUACCGUGAGGGAAAGAUGAAAAGCACUUUGGAAAGAGAGUUAAACAGUACGUGAAAUUGUUGAAAGGGAAACGCUUGAAGUCAGUCGCGUCCGACGGAACUCAGCCUUGCUUCGGCCUGGUGUACUUUCUGUCGGACGGGUCAACAUCAGUUUUGACCGGUGGAAAAAGGUAGGGGGAAUGUAGCGCCGUUUCGGCGGCGUGUUAUAGCCCCUUGCUGUAUGCAUCGGUCGGGACUGAGGACCGCAGCACGCCUUUUUGGCCGGGGGUUCGCCCUACGUACCGUGCUUAGGAUGUUGGCAUAAUGGCUUUAAGCGACCCGUCUUGAAACACGGACCAAGGAGUCCAACAUGCUUGCGAGUGUUCGGGUGGAAAACCCUUGCGCGCAAUGAAAGUAACAGUUGGGAACCUCCGCAAGGGGGUGCACCGACGCCCGGCCCUGACGUUCUCUGACGGUGCUGCGGUAGAGCAAGUAUGCUGGGACCCGAAAGAUGGUGAACUAUGCCUGAAUAGGGCGAAGCCAGAGGAAACUCUGGUGGAGGCUCGUAGCGAUUCUGACGUGCAAAUCGAUCGUCAAAUUUGGG
rnacentral:rRNA from 1 species